rnacentral:rRNA from 1 species
CGGAGGACAAGAAACUAAACAGGAUCCCCAUAGUAAUGGCGAAUGAACCGGGAUAAACUCAGCAUGGAAAUUGGGGCCUUUGGCUUUGUCUUGUAAUCUGGUGAGGCAUUGCCAACAGAGGCGCAUAUGUAAGUCUCUUGGAAAAGAGCAUCAACGAAGGUGAGAGUCCUGAUUGUCAUGUGCAGCCCCCCUGUGCACGGUGUGCCUUCUAAGAGUCACGUUCCUUGGGAUUGGAGCGCAAAUUGGGUGGUAACUUUCAUCUGAAGUUAAACAAUGGUUUGGGACCGAUAGGAAACAAGUACCAUGAGGGAAAGGUGAAAGGACUUUGGAAAGAGAGUUAAAAGUGCCUGAAAUUGCUGAAGGGGAAGCGAAUGGAACCAGUGGUGCUGGGUGAGAUUGUCACAUGCUGUAAGGAUUGGUUGCUGCCACAACGCAAGUGUGCUGGCAAUUUCUGAAUUGCUAGUGUGUGGUGUGUCUUUGUUGUUAUGCUUGUGCGUAAGCUUUAGUGUUUGUCUGGCUGCAGGGCUGUCCAUCCUCAAGCUUUGCGUGUGGUUGCGAUGAGCAUAACCUUCUGCACAGAUCUUGACGAAAUGGUUUCAUUCGACCCGUCUUGAAACACGGACCAAGG